AUUGAACGCUGGCGGCAUGCCUUACACAUGCAAGUCGAACGGUAACAGGUCUUCGGAUGCUGACGAGUGGCGAGCGGGUGAGUAAUACAUCGGAACGUGCCUAGUAGUGGGGGAUAACUACUCGAAAGAGUGGCUAAUACCGCAUGAGAUCUACGGAUGAAAGCAGGGGAUCGCAAGACCUUGUGCUACUAGAGCGGCCGAUGGCAGAUUAGGUAGUUGGUGGGAUAAAGCUUACCAAGCCGACGAUCUGUAGCUGGUCUGAGAGGAAGAUCAGCCACACUGGGACUGAGACACGGCCCAGACUCCUACGGGAGGCAGCAGUGGGGAAUCUUGGACAAUGGGCGAAAGCCUGAUCCAGCAAUGCCGCGUGCAGGAUGAAGGCCUUCGGGUUGUAAACUGCUUUUGUACGGAACGAAAAGCCCCGGGUUAAUACCCUGGGGUCAUGACGGUACCGUAAGAAUAAGCACCGGCUAACUACGUGCCAGCCGCCGCCGUAA
rnacentral:rRNA from 1 species